AAGGGGAGCAAUCCCUGAGUAUAGUGGCGACCGGGUGAGUAACACGUGACUACCUGCCCUUGAGUGGGGGAUAACCUCGGGAAACCGAGGCUAAUACCGCAUAAUAUCGCAAGAUCAAAGGAGCAAUCCGCUUUUGGAGGGGGUCGCGGCUGAUUAGCUAGUUGGUGAGGUAAUGGCUCACCAAGGCGAAGAUCGGUAUCCGGCCUGAGAGGGCGCACGGACACACUGGAACUGAAACACGGUCCAGACUCCUACGGGAGGCAGCAGUGGGGAAUUUUGCGCAAUGGGGGAAACCCUGACGCAGCAACGCCGCGUGGAGGAUGAAGCCCCUUGGG
rnacentral:rRNA from 1 species